rnacentral:rRNA from 1 species
UAGGGAAUCUUCCACAAUGGACGCAAGUCUGAUGGAGCAACGCCGCGUGAGUGAAGAAGGCUUUCGGGUCGUAAAACUCUGUUAUUGAAGAAGAACGUGUGUGACAGUAACUGGUCAUGCAGUGACGGUAUUCAAUCAGAAAGUCACGGCUAACUACGUGCCAGCAGCCGCGGUAAUACGUAGGUGGCAAGCGUUGUCCGGAUUUAUUGGGCGUAAAGCGAGUGCAGGCGGUCUUUUAAGUCUGAUGUGAAAGCCUUCGGCUUAACCGAAGAAGGGCAUCGGAAACUGGGAGACUUGAGUGCAGAAGAGGAGAGUGGAACUCCAUGUGUAGCGGUGAAAUGCGUAGAUAUAUGGAAGAACACCAGUGGCGAAGGCGGCUCUCUGGUCUGUAACUGACGCUGAGGCUCGAAAGCGUGGGUAGCAAACAGGAUUAGAUACCCUGGUAGUCCACGCCGUAACGAUGAAUACUAAGUGUUGGAGGGCUU